AGCAGAAGGAAAUUUGAAAAGAACUGUUAUUGUUCAUUCUUAUGCUGGUAAAGAGUGGACAUAAUCUUGUGUAGCAAGAUUACUUUUGUUGUUACAAUUAUGUGACAACAGUUCUGAAUAUUGAUCAAAUUAAUCAAGAAUCACAGACACUGUUAUAUGACAUUGAGAACUGUUUGAAUGUGGAAAAAACCCAAUUAAAGUAAGCGACACUUAUUCAGAGAA